rnacentral:rRNA from 1 species
UACGUAGGGUGCAAGCGUUGUCCGGAAUUAUUGGGCGUAAAGAGCUCGUAGGCGGUCAGUCGCGUCUGCUGUGAAAACUCUGGGCUUAACUCCGGGCCUGCAGUGGGUACGGGCUGACUAGAGUGCGGUAGGGGAGACUGGAAUUCCUGGUGUAGCGGUGAAAUGCGCAGAUAUCAGGAGGAACACCGGUGGCGAAGGCGGGUCUCUGGGCCGUAACUGACGCUGAGGAGCGAAAGCGUGGGGAGCGAACAGG